UUUUUCAAUAUUUGUUUUUUAGUUUUCAAUUUUUUUUUUUUAAUUUUUAUGAUAAUAUUAUUUUUUUUAUCAAACCAAACAUGAUAUAAAAAUUUAAAUUUUUUAAUUUUUAUGCUAUUAUUAAACAAUCUGGCAUUAUUGGAGUGCUUGAAGAACUCAAUCAUUUUCCUUAUACGUAGUCACUAAGCGAGUUUUCUCACACUGCCGCAACUAGUGUUGAGUGUUUUUGAAGUAGUUGAUAUUCUCUCACCUUACGCACUCAAGCUGAGUAUUUUCACUAGAUAGGCGCACGCUCACGAACAAAUGACGCUCUCUAUAUCUCUUGCAUCGUUAUUUCGCUCACGCACCCAAAUGGGCGCUCUCGCAACGUCAUUUAUUACAACACUAAAUGGGUGUGCAUCAUAUGAUUUACCGGCUUUUUAAGUGGCGUCAAUAACAACCCCAAAAGUUGUUGAUUUUUUUUUGCUGGAUUCUUGUUAUUGUUAACUUUAAUGAAUAAAAAUGUAGAUGGGCAAGGACGCUGCAGCGCAAUGCAUUACUUGUUAAUGAAAAGGAUUAAAUGCUGAUUUCGCAGGAAAAAUUUUUGAUUUUUUUUUGUGAAUGGUAAAACUUUUCGAAGGUAGCAAGCUGGAUAAGAAGUUGGCUUAUUUUAUGGUGUUAUGCAAAUGUAUUUUCUAAAUUCCUUUUUAAGAUAUCUUUCGUCUUUAUUGAUUCAAUUUAAAAUGCUUUAAUGAUUUUUGAUUGCUCUAAAAGUUUAAAACGAAGCGCCUUCUUACUUUAAAGCUUCUGCUCUCUUAUUCUAUCAACUGUAUACUCACUUUAAAGGUAACUUUAAUGCAAACGCUUUUUUGCUUUCGUUCUUAUAAGCAAAAAAAACUACUCCAUCACUCAUUCCCAGUCAACGAAAAGGCAGCGAAGAAAGUACCCUUUUCCAAAAACAAAAAAGAAAAUAAAAGUUAGCUACUUCUUGGUCUAGACACUGUCGUCGUUCCGAAGUUGUCGAAUGUCGAAAGUUGCGCGCUGUGCCAGUGGUGGCGGUUUAACAACCGCGCCCGUUUUGCCACCUUUCUCAUCAGCAGCCGCUGCAACGACUAGUCGCUGUCUACACUACAUUGCCUGCCUGCUUGUCGCGCUGACAGCCUGUAAGUCUGCCUCGUGCGUUGCGACUUACCUUGCCGCCAGAAAUGCUUUGAUGAAUGCAAGCAUUUCCACUUGAAUAUUUUGCUAUUUUUUUUUUUUGGUUUUACGCGAUUCCUGCCACUGCUCCUUGCUUUUGUUAUUACCGCCGUCUUCGUGCGCUCUCCUUGCCCUUUUCGCGCUAUGCAAUUUGUCCAUUGUUUUCUUCGACACAUUAUUUGGCCUUAAACAGGUUUGCUGCACACAUUUGGUUACGCUCUGGCGUGACGUGUUUGGCAUUUCGGCACUUGGGUUCACCAGUUGACGCAUUGGCUGUCGUUCGCGUUGCGUUCUUGUUCGCAGUCGCCGUCACAGUUGCAGCAGUCGUUGGCUGCGUCAUACCUUAAUAGGUAAGGACCGGACUGCAUUUUCCUGUUUAGCCCUUGCUUGUUGUCAACGUUUGUGUUGUUUUUAUUUUGUGUCGCAUGCGUGUAUACUUUUUCGUUGUUUAUUUCCGAUGAGUGUGAUUUUACUUGAUUGCGGUAGCUCGCUUUAUAAGCUGCGUCUCAAUUUUCUCAUAUCAUAUUGGCGUUGUUGCCACGUGCGCUCUCUUAUUUGUUGUUCGUUUUGAUUUUCUGUGGUUGUUGUAUAAUAAUUUUCUUCCACUUAUCUUCUGUUGUGCCAAAAAUUCCUACUGUGUUUGUUGCAUAUACCCGAUUUGAGUUGAUUCACACGACAGUUUCUACUCAGUUUUUUAAACAGUUACUCAAUUUGUUAUGUGUAAAAUAAAUAAUCGAUAUACGAUAACUUGAAGCUGAAUAAUGUUCGCGUCUGACUUUUAUGGAAACGGGAUUCAUUUGUAUUGAUUCUGUACCCCCGAUAUCUAUUACCCUUCAUGGCUAUCAAAUUAAGAAUCGAUAGUUGAGUAAUAUUCCUACUGACUCGCUCUUUUAAAGUUGGACGAUGAGCAUACGCCUCUAUUAUCUAUAAAUUCACCAUAAUUUCUUCACGGUCCCAUUACUUUCGAAAUUAUAGUGUCUUGGCGCCUAUCACAGUGUUAUCUCGUUUGGUCUCCAUUCCAGUUCCAUGUCAAUCUAUUUGCCUAAGAUCAUUGUGAGAUCCUUCUAACACAUACAAUUUUAAUAUAUUACAAGACAAUUAUAAAGAAAAUAAAUUAUAAAAUAAUUUUAUUAUAUAGAUAUUCCAUCUUGGACUAUAUGAGAAAAGUUUGAAAAUAAAAUACUACAAAAAUGAAAAUUUUAAUGAAAUGUUCAACAGUUCCUAGUUCCGGGUUCGCCGAGGUGUUUUAACCUUCACUUGUUCAUCUUCGACUGUAUUUUGUGACACCCAGAUACUCUUGACGUAUCGCUAAAGACUCUUGUGAUUCGACAAAGCGCUUGGACUCUACUAAAUAAAGUUCUUAAGUCGGCUAAUGUCGUUUCCAGUUGAUACGCUGGGUUCGCCGUAGUGUUUUAACCUUCACUUGUUCAUCUUCGACUGUAUUUUGUGACACCCAGAUACUGCUGACGCAUCGCCAAGACCUGUUUGUUUGACAAAGCGCUUAGACUACUGAGAUAAGAUAAAGUUCUUAAGUCUGCUAAUGUCGAUACCAGUUACUUCGCUCUGUUCGCCGAGGUGUUUUAACCUAAGUCUGACAAAUGCUGGAAAUUGAAGAAGGAAGUGCUUGGAUGAUUCCUUUCGCUUUCCUCUAAGCAUCUUUGGCAACUAACAUCUGGCUUGAUCCCUAACCUCAGCACAUGUUUGCCUAUUGGACAGUGUGAGCUCGCCAAGUAAGCAUAUCACUAAUUGCGACGAGAUGAGACCUCCUAAGCGACGGACCUUCCAGCCGUUUUCGAGCCACCGCGACCAGAAAAACCUUUCUUCUGUACAGGUAAUGGUUGUUGCCCAGCGCUUGGCGAGCUCACACAAGUCGGAAUUCAAAGUAGUUCGCAGCUACUGAUAACGAUGUUAGACACCCGCUUACUAGUUUAGAUCUCACUGUCGACGAAUCCAAGAUCAGUAUUGUAUACACACAUCUCUGAAGGAUGUUGCACUUCGGAGCAGUAUGCCUACUGCUACCUAAUCUAAUAAUGGUCUGGCAGCCGAAACUGGAUUUAAUUGAGAGUUUCCGACAGAAGACUCCCCUUCCCUCCUUCCCCCUGAGCUCCUAUGCAUCCGUGAAAAGGCUCACUGCGUCUCUUCAUCUCCUCAUCGCCUUCUCCUCUGCCAUAUAACUCUUUAAGGGAUGUGCGCAGUAAAGAAUCCGCUGGGAGACGGUUCCACGGCUUGAUAUUGAUACUAAACACCUAAUUUUUGUUUUAAAAAGAUUCGAAUUGGAAAACAGCAGUGGUCUAUGCUGAAAUAUUUCAUUCACUUAAAUACAAUAACAUAUCCAUAUACCAGUUGCAGUUCCUACUAGGCUGUCCUCUACAUUAGUAUUUUGAGUGCAGACAAAUUUUUUUACUCCAAUUGCGCUCUUGUUUCUUUACCAAAACAUUCCCAACGCACUCAGCACAGCACACGCUCACUCAGUCAUUUCGCUCAAAUGGGUGCUCCAACGAGUGAGCGAACAGCUGGUGAGCGAGCUGAUUUGCUUGCCGGCAAAGUAGCAAAAUCGCAACAGCAAAGCGAAUGGAGGCACAAAUGUCAGAAGCGCUAAAAUAGUGUUUUCCAAAACGGCGACGAAGCUGGUAGUUGUACGUUGUUGUUUGCGAGGCGAGUCCAUUCAUUCGCAGCGGUUUAGUUCUUUAUUUGCACGCUUGGUGAGACGGUGGCUUGCGUCUUCGACGGUUUGAGUUGUAGCACUGCCGUAAAGAAAGGGUGCGCGCGACGCGACGUACGUCAGACUUGGUGCAGAAGAAGUGUUUUAAGAAUAUACAAAAAAAUUUGAAUUUUUGUACAAUAAUAACAACCAAAUCUUAUCACCAAAGAACAAAAUAAGUAAAAAAAAAAUAUAUAUACACAAAGGAAACAUGUGAAAAAAGUGAUUUGUUUAUAACAAAAAUAUAAAUUAUUAAAAAAAAACCACAACAACACAAAAAAUACGACUAACAUGUAAUACUGUGUUUGCCUUGAAAUUACAUGAAAAAAGUGUUUAACGAAGGUUCAUACAAAAUAUAAGCAGCAACAACACAACCCAAAGUAAUAGCAUAAACAUAAAAUGGAUGGCGAACCGAUAGUGGCGCCCACAGUACGUCGCAAUCCGAGCAUAAAACGUUUGCUGAAAUUCCCAUGGGGUGGGCAAGGUGAGUCUUACUAUUUCAAUUAUUUACGCAUAGAUAUAUAUAGAUAAUCGAUUUCCUAACGAAGGUAAGUUAAAUAAACAUUCUCAAAAUACCGACAUAAAUUGGGAAAUAAAAUGAUGGUGAACAUGAAAUUCAGACGCGUAAUAAAUAGAAAAAAAUUAAAAAUCCUCUAUGUUACUGAAGAGAAGAAGAUCUUGUAUGAGGAGUUCUAAUAGAGCACUGUAUGAACCCUCUUUUCUCAUCUAGAAAUCGAUUUAUCAAGUGAUCCAAUUUCAAGAAUCAAGUUGCCUUUGAAGCAGUUUUUAUCGGUUCAUAACUAUGGUAUAUGUAUAAAUAAUUUUUUGUACCAGCUUUUGAAAAUUUGUUUUAAAUUCUUUGAACAUACUUUUUAUAUAUGUGAUGUGCUGGAAAUCUGUACAGAGCUAUAAUCUAUAGUAUCCGUACUUUGAGAGUUAAAAUCAAAUUUGAUCGAAACGGCACAUUUUGAACUAUUUCCGAAGUUAUGUAACUAUGGCUCUGUUUAUAUGUAAGUAGUCUUAUUGACUCUAUUUCUCUCUAUCUAUCUUAUCUCUCUUGAUAACAAACGUUUCGCCUCAAAUCUCAACUUCAUCAUGAAAGCAUGUGUUUACUAUGUGUCUUCACUUCAUUCGACUCAAGUCGAACUGAUAUGAAAUGGAUUGCGUACUUUUUGUAUUCAAAAUUUGUAUCUGCAGGGUCUCAUCGAGUUUGUUACAACGAACAUCAGAAUGGGAAAUGAUGGUGCCGAAUAAAGUGGGACUAUUAACUUAACGAUUUCUCAUAGCCUUUUCGUACAGGAGUUAAUUGAGCAAUUAACCGACCGUUGCUCAAUUAAAACGAUAAUUUAGAUGGAUUUAAAAUACAAAAGAAA